GUCGUCAGUUUAAAACUGUCAUGAAUGUAAAUGUCUAAUCACUGCUGGAGCUAUAGUCAAUAAAUAGCUUCCCUAUUCAGAAGAGGAGGAGGCACAGCGGCAACCCCCUUCUUCGUUUACUUCAACAGUUAUAACAAGACCAGAAACAAAUUUGCCCCAACAAGAACCAACAAUGUUCCUUCUCUGCUGCAUAAGCUUGCAGACCAUACUGGUUUCGGGUUCCUCUCUGAGUGACCAAAUUUUCCAGACUCCUGUCGAGAUGUUUGAAAGUCUUGGGAAAACAUUUACCAUCAGCUGUUCUCACAGUAUUCAAAGCUAUGAUCAAAUCCUUUGGUACAAACAAUCAGAAGGCCAUGAGAUGCAGUUCCUGGGAUACAUGUAUGGAACCAGUGCAUUCCCAGAGAAGGGACUGAAUGUGACAAUGGACGGGAACGCAAACAAAGGCCAGACCAGCACCUUAACAAUUAAAGGACUCAAUGUAAAAACAAGAGCAGUUUACUUCUGUGCUGCUCGCUACCACAGUGCAGCAUAUCAUUGCGCUUCAGUACAUAAACCUCCUCACAUCCCUGUGCAGCUGUAUUACCUUCUUUGAUGUGGUAAGGCCAUAUCUUGCAUGGCUAAUAUAAUAAUACAGAGCGUAUUAUCAUAUUUGCAAGAUAUGGCCUUACAUGGUCUGCUGUGACCACACCCACCUACAGAGCGCAUUUUGCUGUAGCCUCAAAGGAGAGGCUGU